GGCAGUUAGAAUUUGAAUUUGCACGUUAGCUAGCGCCUGUGAGACUAGUCUGGGAGUGUUUUGAUAAAAGGGAACACCAAUCCCACCUGUUACCUGUGUGUUGGAAACAUGAGGGUAAAGACAGAUCUGGACCAAACUCCAAGUACUGUGACAGCUACUGCUGCCCUUUGCUCUCUGAGCACUGCUGAAUCUGAGCAGAAAGAGGAGUUCAUAAGCACCAUAAGUGAAGUGGAGAACGAUGAGAAUGUGGCCUCCUUGAGAAGAUGACUGAAGCUGAAGGUGUGAAUGUCUCUGGAGACGCAAAGCUUAGUGAUGCUAUUUCUCUUGGAAUGGACCACGGAUUUGUAUUGGUUGAGGAAGAAGCAGCAGCAUGAAUGCACGUUUCAGCUAAAUGUAAGACUCUCCUCAUUAUGGGUGAGAAAGUGUUUUCUUUUUGCUUUCAUACCAUGUCAGAA